CCCUGCCCCCUGCAGAGGUGACAGUCACCUCCCUCCCGCUGGAACAGCCCCUCACAUUCUCAGCGAGGCAGGACUUGGGUCGCAGACCUGGGUGGCCCUGGGCCUCCAGCAGCCCAUCGGGGUGGGGUCUGCAGGGCAUCCACGGGAGCCACAGGGCCUCUCCUCUCGGGACAUUCCGAAGUGCUGCUGUGCUUCUGACAGCCCGGACUCCUCUUCCACGCUGAGCCCUGCGAGCUCUUCCCCUCGGCCGACUGCUUCCAAGGAAAGCACCUGACCUGCAAAGUGAGCGCCAGUCAGGGCUGCGGGCAGAACACACAUGGCUACUUAUUCCAGAAUAUUGCCAUUCCUGCCAACUCUCUGUGUCCUUGGUCCCACGUUUGAUAAUUAGGUCACCACUCUACUAGGUAGGGGCUACCACGGAACCAGCGAUGACCCCAACAUUUCUGUAGAUGGCCUUGGGGGACGGGCAAUUCGGUCUGCGCAAGAGUUUGAAUGACAGUGAACAGCCCUCUACGUUGGCACAGGAAGACUCCCCCACCCCCGGGCUCGACACAGCCAUUAAUCUAGAAGCAACAACCCCGCUUCUCAGAGGCCUCUCACAUGCACGCCUGGAGAAGGCACUCAGGAAGUUAACGUCAGCAGGUUAAGUAGCUGCCUUGAAACGCUGCUGUGACUGGCACCCUGCUGACCUCCCUCACCCCUCCUUACAGUCUGUUUUAUUUCUCCUUCACUGUCUGGCACAACCCCCAGCACGGAAGCUCCAGGAACCGGCUUCACCUUCCUACUCCCGGCCUCGCGCGCGGCCUGGCACGACUUUUAGAGACUGCUGCAUUAUGAUCAGCUCCGUCAGAAGUCUCAGAACCUGUUUGCAGCUGGGCGGAGACUGCAGAGGGUGUUGGAGUUUGGACAGCACCGGAAGAGGAAUCUGGAGAUGUGUCUUAGCCUGGCUCUGACACUUGCUCUCAGUGGGUUUUUGAUGAAGCCACACUUCCUCUGUGAACUUUCUUUUUCUCAUCUGUGAAACCAGGGAUGGUAACUAAGAUGAUCCCUAAGACCUGAUGGACGCAGAAGAGUCUGGAACUUGCCUGGGCUAAGUGGGGGAGAGGAGAGCCCAUAAAGACCCAGGUUGACUGGGCUCAGCUUGGCAGUCCUUCUGCUGCACGUCUGCUGGAACUGCAGCCAUCUAGAAGCCGACGGGCCCGAGUGUCCAAGUCUGGCCAUUGGUGGGGAAAGCUGGGAGGCUGGGCUCAGGCAAGAUGGCUGAAUCUCUUUCCUCUCCUUGUAAUCUCAAGGCAUCUCCUUCUCCAGGUGGUUUCUCCACAGUCUAGACAGCAGGAUAGCUGGACUUAUUAUGUGGAGGCUUUCUUCCCUAAAGCGCAGAGCAGAAGUUUUCAGGCCUUAAAAAUUGGCCCAGAAUCAGCAUAUUUUCUCUUCUGCCACAUCCUAUUUAUUAAAAUGAGUCACAAGGCCAGUUCAGAUUCAAUGUGGGAGGAGACUACACAGGGCAUGAAUACUGGGACGCAUGGUUCAUUGGUGGGGGGGGGUAAUCUUUGGAAACCAAUUCAACACUGAUCAAUAAAUGUUUAUAUUAUUGGAACUCCAAGUAUGCUCCACUCCCUUAUCCCUUUUUAAAAAAUAUCAUCUUGUGUUGGAACAAGUAUUUGUUAACUAAAAAGUAUUUUGGAAUCAUGUGGUCACCACCCUAACCAUAGUCCUGUAGGACAGAAGUCAUGUAUCUGUUUCUCCUAUGUCACCCCUCAGGCCUAGGACAGGGCUCUGCAUACAGCAGGUAUGAAAUAAAGGCUGCAUAUUUUGUUGGAUGUUAAUAUUUCUA